CCGAAUAGCUCUUCUAAUCGGGCUGCAUGGUUCAUUACGCAUGCAGGGAAGCGUUACAAAUUAACCCAGUUAUUUACGAUUAUUUCGUUUUAAAUUUGGGUAUUAAAGAUGAUUUAGCCGCCCAUGCAAUACGAGUACAAUGCAAUAGGUGCGCUCGAUUGCGUUCUGGAGAUGCAACUGAGGCAGCGGCAAGAUCUUGUAAAUUGCAUAAUCGCCCAGCUGGCCAGCAAAGUUGCCGGGCCUAAAACGUGUUUCCGCAGUCGACUGCUCCAUUUUGGCCCCCUCCCCCCACCCAACCGACCAAGACUUUCGAGUCGUAAUUGCCCUGGCAAUUUGCAAUUGUGCGGCUCUGGUUCUGGCAGAUUGAUGCCUUAGUUUGAUAAUGGCCAAUGUCGAGGCAUGCAAUUUUAACGGUUGCACGGUGUCAGAAAGAAAGAAGAGAUUCCCCGGCCUUUCGGAGAUGAUAAUUCCCGGUAGCCGAAAACAAAGGGCAACAAACUGGUAACUGCAACUGUGUCAAUCACGUGCCCUCUUAGCCAUCUUUCCUGCAUUUUUUCCCGUAUUCAUGGCACAGCGCUCUAUUGUCUGCGAAAAAAAUGCAUUUAAAAAACGAUGCAGGUGACAGAAAAUUAGCAAAAAACAAAGUGUUAUGUGCGACAGCUGAAAGAGCGACAAUUAGGCGCAUUUUGUGUGUGUUUCGUAUUUUUUCUUGUCUGUCUGCCAGCUUGUGGCUAUUGCAUUCAAUUCCCCCAAAACCGAACAUUGUGCAAUAACAAUUUGCGCUGCACAAAAAUGCGCGAGCAGCUUGGCCAGCAAAAAAAAAACAAUACGAAAACUGAGACAAGUUGCGUGGUGGCUUUGUUACACUG